rnacentral:lncRNA from 1 species
ACAGAAUCCACCUGAGAGCUGUUGGAGGUGGGAAUCUCUACUCCAGAGGAUCAGAACAUGGAAAAUGUGCUGAUGACUAAGGAAUGAUCUUGUCUGGUCACAUUCCAGAAGCAGGAGGAAAAAAAAAUAGCAUUUCUGAAGCCAAUGAGUGCCAGUCACUUGAAGAUGGUAAUCUGAACAGGAAGAGCACUGUGACUUACUACUGUCCUUCAGAGAAAAAGGAAGAGGUGCACGUCACAGACGGGAAGUCAGUGAACCAGAGGCAAAGUGAAGUUUAUAGCAUGAACGACUUGUUUUUUUGGUACAAUCCUGUACAUUAAUUGUUACCAGCACGUAUCUCGGAGCUCCUGUCCACACAAUAGUCAUUACUAACACCUGAGUUGAUCUGCACAAGGGCACGGAUUACACGGAAAAAGACAAGUGUUCCCACAUUUUCUAUUACCUGGAGAAGAUUCUUCCUUAAAUGUUAGAAGAAUUGGUGUAUUAUGUCCAGCUUGCAACAACAAAUUUCAAGGUAUGCUGAAAGGCAAAAAACAAUCUGAAGAGGCAAUGCAAGCAUCAGACCAGAUUCAAUAUGGGAGACAUUCUGGAAUCAUCUGACUGGAAAUGUAAAAUAACUAUGAUUAAUAUGCUAAAGGCUUGAAUAGAAAAAGUGGACAACAUGCAGAAAGCGAGGUAACCUGUAAGCAGAAAAAUGAAAACUCUAAGAAAGAAUCCAAAGGAAAUGCCACAAAUCAAAAAGUGUAAUGGAAAUAAAGAAUGCAUUUCGCCAGGUGUGGUGGCUCAUGCCUGUAAUCCCAGCAC